GCGGCGUGCGGAGCGGGGCAGGCGCGGGCCAGGCCCCCGGGCCCAGUCCUUAAAUCCCCCGACAGCCUUGGAGCCUGCAGAGAAUGUCCUCCCCACUGUCCAGAAAUACAGGAUGUGCUUUUAAAGGAUCAGCUGCACAUUUGUUUCCUCCUCGUUCUGCUCCUCAGGCCUGACUCGGGGACUCAGACCCCUGUGACAAGGUCUGACUGAAUUAUUUAUUCGUUUCUGGUCAAUCGCUGGUAAUGGCAUUAACAUUCGUCCAUCAAAG